rnacentral:rRNA from 1 species
GGGUGGUAAUGCCGGAUGUUCCAGUUGAUCGCAUGGUCUUCUGGGAAAGCUUUCGCGGUAUGGGAUGGGGUCGCGUCCUAUCAGCUUGACGGCGGGGUAACGGCCCACCGUGGCUUCGACGGGUAGCCGGCCUGAGAGGGCGACCGGCCACAUUGGGACUGAGAUACGGCCCAGACUCCUACGGGAGGCAGCAGUGGGGAAUAUUGCACAAUGGGCGCAAGCCUGAUGCAGCGACGCCGCGUGAGGGAUGGAGGCCUUCGGGUUGUAAACCUCUUUUAUCGGGGAGCAAGCGUGAGUGAGUUUACCCGUUGAAUAAGCACCGGCUAACUACGUGCCAGCAGCCGCGGUAAUACGUAGGGUGCAAGCGUUAUCCGGAAUUAUUGGGCGUAAAGGGCUCGUAGGCGGUUCGUCGCGUCCGGUGUGAAAGUCCAUCGCUUAACGGUGGAUCCGCGCCGGGUACGGGCGGGCUUGAGUGCGGUAGGGGAGACUGGAAUUCCCGGUGUAACGGUGGAAUGUGUAGAUAUCGGGAAAGAACACCA